CUGUGCAAAGGUAGCAUAAUCAUUAGUUUUUUAAUUGAAAGCUGGUAUGAAUGGUUUAAUAAGAAAAAUUCUGUCUCAAUUUUAAUUUUUGAAUUUUAUUUUUAAGUUAAAAAGCUUAAAUUUAUUAAAAAGACGAGAAGACCCUAUAGAGUUUAAUAAGAAUAAUUUAAUUUUUAUUAAGAUUUAAAUUUGAAAUUAUUUUAAAUUAUUUUGUUGGGGUGAUAUAAAAAUUUAACAAACUUUUUAUUUAUUAAAUCAUGAAUUUAUGUGUAAUUGAUCCUAAUUUUUGGAUUGCAAGAAAAAAUUACCUUAGGGAUAACAGCGUAAUUUUUUUUGAGAGUUCUUAUCGAAAAGAAAGUUUGCGACCUCGAUGUUGGAUUAAAAUAAAGUUUUGGCGUAGAAGUUAAAAAUUUAGGUCUGUUCGACCUUUAAAUUU
rnacentral:rRNA from 1 species